UCUCAGGUUCACUGUUGGCAGAAAGCAGACUUUGAAUGGACCAUGAUGGAUCCAGGAUUGGGAGAGAAUUGGACCAGAGCCCUUUGUGCGUCAGGGCGUAAGUAGGUUGAUUGCAGCCUGAUCUCAGCUUGGUUCAGUCUGUCCUGUAACAGGAGUUUCUCAACUGUGGAGUUGGAAUGCAAGGUCUCUUGGAAAAAGAUGACCCUGUUUACUGAGAAAGCAUGAAGGUUCCGGUUGAAUCAGUCUCAUAAGGUUGCUGUGUAACCUGAGUGUCCAGAGCUGAAAAGCCUCUGGCUGUUUUGAAGAAUCAAGUAUCAUAUUAAACUUAGAUAAAAAUUUCUAACUUUGUAGCCUUCCUAUCUGGAGAAAGAAAAUAAAAUCCUUUGAAUCAAAA